rnacentral:rRNA from 1 species
UACGGAGGGUGCAAGCGUUAUCCGGAUUCACUGGGUUUAAAGGGUGCGUAGGCGGGCAGGUAAGUCAGUGGUGAAAUCUCCGAGCUUAACUCGGAAACUGCCGUUGAUACUAUUUGUCUUGAAUAUUGUGGAGGUAAGCGGAAUAUGUCAUGUAGCGGUGAAAUGCUUAGAUAUGACAUAGAACACCAAUUGCGAAAGGCAGCUUACUACACAACGAUUGACGCUGAGGCACGAAAGCGUGGGGGAUCAAAACAGG